rnacentral:lncRNA from 1 species
GUCCAAGGAGGCCAGUGACCCUUCGGCACAGGACAAGUACAGAAGGAGGGUGAACAAAGCAACUGCUGAGGCUUGGGAGGAAACUCUAGCUAACAGCUCCUGGCUGCAGGCCUCUGAGGGUGCUUCAGCUCACCAGUCUGCACUUGUGCGGCCCACGCCCCAGCACUGCUGAAUAGGAGCCCGUAAGACCACAGCCCAAAGGGAGCAGUGCGGUCACAUCGCUCACUUUCCUGACCAGGGCUGGGGGCGUGCAGUGUGGGGUUGCGUGCCUCUGUUCUAUGCCUGUCUGCCCUCAGGUGGUGAUGACCAGGGAGACAUCUAAUGUCUUGCAUUCAGGUUUAAGAAAGUGACCAUACAAUAUAUGGUGGGGGAAUACCUAGAUUAACACGGGGUUCUGUUAAAAAAAAAAAAUUCCGUAUGUUUUAGCUGAUGAUAAACUUAAAAUGACCGCACAGUGCAAAGUGGCUAUGUGGGAAGUGCUAAUGCCGUCUAAGGUGCUUUUCCAGGGGACACUCAAGAGGGUCACAGAUGCCUUGUGCUCUGCAGGGACAAGAUCCCCUGUGAUGGAGAGCAGGGUGCUGGGCCCUGGGCAUGUACUUUGAAUAGGAGCCUUGGAAAAUGGCCACAUCCUGGUAUGGUCAAGCAGGCUGGUAAGAGAAAACCAUGUCACGUUUGGAAAGGUUGAAGGAAUUGGGUGUAGCAGUCUACAGAGGAGAAAACUAGGAAGGGUUGUCAUUUGCCAUCCAACCCGUGAAAGGCGAGCCUGCAGAGGAGGGACUGAGCUUAUCCUGGGUAGCUUGAGAGGACAGGGAUAAAUCAGUUACAGAAAGUGAGAUUUUGGCUCCCCACUGAGGAAGAAGUUUCCAGUGAUUAGAGUUGAUCAUGAAUGAGCUCGCUGGAAAUAUUCAGAGGACUGUUUUAUUGGGUGGCGAGUUGGAUUAAAUGACUUCUAACAUCCUUUACAAUUUUUUUCUUUUCUUUUCUUUUUUUUUUUUUGAGAUGGAGUUUUGCUCAUUGCCCAGGCUGGACUACAGCGGCGCGAUCUUGGCUCACUGCAAUCUCUGCAUCCCAGGUUCAAGCGAUUCUCCUGCCUCAGCCUCCCGAGUAGCUGGGAUUACAGACAUGCACCACCAUGCCAGGCUAAUUUUGUAUUUUUAGUAGAGACGGGGUUUCAUCAUGUUGGUCAGGCUGGUCUUAAACUCCUGACCUUAGGUGAUCCACCUGCCUCAGCCUCCCAAAGUGCUGGGAUUACAGGUGUGAGCCACUGUGCCUGUGGCCUCGAUCCUUUCCAAUUCUAGGAUUCGAUUAUCUGUGAAAAAACUUUAUAAAGAUGAGGACUACAAGCUAUGUAUAUACAGUAUGUAUACACUGUAUAGAAUAUAUGUAAAGAUAAUCUGAGUAUGUCCUCUCAUUGGAACAAAAACCUGUCAAGUCACUGUCAAGGAGACAGUAAAAACAUGUUGGUGAUGGGUGAAGCUAUUCCAUUCACUGAGAAAUUGGCACCCUCACAUGUAAAGGGAGUUUAUGUCUGCAUGUUAGAGGGAUACCGUGCCAUGUGUGGCUUUGGUCCACGUCUACCUACAGGCUUCAGUGACUGAGAGGACAGCAUCAGGGAAAGGGGCCUCUGGGACUCUGGGUUUGCUAUCUUGUCCUGGAGGGGAGUAAGAUCUCUGGCUUGAUGCUCUGAAGACCCAGGUUCUAGGACCAGCUUUCCCCCUUCAAGCUGCACGACCUUAGGCAGACCACUUUUCUGAUAAGCACAGGCUACAUCUCUAAAGUAAGGGACUGGACAAUGUGCUCUCUAAGGCACCUUCCAAAUUACACUACAUAAUUUUGUUGAAACCAUCCUUUCUUACUAUGAGACACUGCUGAGGAUUCCUAUAAGCUUUACAUUUUUGUGAAGCUAUUUGGUCUCUAUGUGCUUUCCACUUAAUGGUAUUUAAUGACCUCUCACCCUAGCACGAUGAACGCAGAAGCCACUUAUUUUGCAUAAACUCUAAUAAGUGGCCAUGAAGUACAAGUGUAGUUAAUUCCCAUGGCCCGAAAUUCCCUGAGAAAUUUCCUCUAAAAGUGGGAUUUCUGACAUCUGUGGGGAGCUGCAUUAGGGAAAGCGCCUUCUAAUCACCUGUGAGGUCAUCCUGAAGGCUGUCGCCUCUUCUGUUUAUGUGUACAGAGCGGGGCCGUGCUUCUGAUGGGGGUUGAGAAACAGUGCUAGAAUGGAGAGGGUGGCACCAUCAAACAAGAGAGGCAGCGUCUGACCUUAACUGACUGGAAAGACGAAGCUGGGCUAUACACUCACUUUGGUCUGUAUGAAAACAGGCAGACUUGAGAGCAGAGCUGGGGGCUCUGUCCAGUCCCAUGACAACCCUAAACAUGUGAGCUUUCUCCUACGAAGGGCUGAAAAAUACCCAAGGCUUGCCUUCCCUAAGAGUGUUUGAAUAAGUGUAUGUGUUUGAAUCGUCCGUGGAAAAACUGCUUUAUCUUUUUAUUUAAUAAUCCUGUUAAGCUACUUCAAGGUAUUUAAAAGCACUACAUUAGGUGGAAAGAAACAAAAGAGAGCCAUCAGUGUGAGUGACCUACAGCGCUUAGGGAGGGAAACCAUUAGUUUAACACAAAACAUGGAGACCCCACCGCUGUGAAAUCGUUAGUGACUCUCUGGCCCCUACGUAACUGGUAGAGUCAUGGGGAUUCCUGGAGAUAGGAGGAUACGUGAAUGGCCUUUUAUUUUCUCUCUCUUUCCUGGGUUUUAUGUAAGGUGAAAUGCCACGAGGUAAAGGUCUUUGGGAAGUCACUGAAUUGGUGAGGUGAUGGAGAGACUGAGAAAGAAGUCACAGAUGAGCUGAACACAAGGAGCAGAAGAGGCGACAGACUCAGGUCAUGAACUUCAGGUGAAAUCAGAGCCUGGUCACGGACAAAAGGAGGGAAUAGGUUUCAAAAACAAAUCAAACAGGAGAGAGCAGAAAGGCAGCAGGGGAAGGUCCAGAGCUUUCCUGGCUGAUUCCGCUCCAGACCUCCAGGGAAGUUUCAGAAUGAGGUGGUCGGUCAGGCCUAGGGAGAGAGCGGCUGUGGACAAAGUACAGAUGGAAGACGAGGGAGCAGCAUCCUGUCAACUCCACGCUUUGCCGCCACCACACAAUCCAGAGCUGGGUUCCAGAAUAAGCAUUCCACCGAGGUCUUCCUCAGCCUUGUGGGGGUGGGGCUGUACUCUCCACAACCACCACUACCACCUCCCCUUCUCACCUCCAGCCCCAGCAGGACUUCCCUCUGAAUCCCCACCCAACUACUUAAUACUGCUGGUCACCAGCUCCCCCGAUGACUGUGACAAUGGCGUGCAUACUGUGCUUUCAGCACGGUCCCAGUUACAGUGCCUGUUACAGUCCCUUCUAGGCCAGGGAAUUAUUCCAUCCAAUUCCUCUGGAGGAGACAAAGCCCAAAGGACAAAGCACUUCCAAUAAUCCAGAAAAAAGGGCAGAGAACCCCAGGAGGCCUGUUCUUGGCACACAUAGGAAGCCUGCAGCCCUCCCGCUGGAGACCAGCCCGUCUCAUGAGAAGGGGCCAGCACCUGACUUAUUUACACUGUCUGUCAAAAUCUGAUCAUUCCAAGCAAAGAGCACAAAACAGAAAUGGAAAAAACCUCAGCAGGAAUCUUGUCCGUGUUUGCACAUCCCUUCAGCUCCCCGCUGAACUCUGCUCCAGAAACUCACCUUGUGCGAAGGCCUCCUGCACGUCU